rnacentral:rRNA from 1 species
CCUACGGGGUGCUGCAGUGGGGAAUAUUGGACAAUGGGCGAAAGCCUGAUCCAGCCAUGCCGCGUGUGUGAAGAAGGCCUUCGGGUUGUAAAGCACUUUCAGUGGGGAAGAAAGCCUUGGGGCUAAUACCCUCGAGGAAGGACAUCACCCACAGAAGAAGCACCGGCUAACUCCGUGCCAGCAGCCGCGGUAAUACGGAGGGUGCGAGCGUUAAUCGGAAUUACUGGGCGUAAAGCGCGCGUAGGCGGUCUGAUAAGCCGGUUGUGAAAGCCCCGGGCUCAACCUGGGAACGGCAUCCGGAACUGUCAUGCUAGAGUGCAGGAGAGGAAGGUAGAAUUCCCGGUGUAGCGGUGAAAUGCGUAGAGAUCGGGAGGAAUACCAGUGGCGAAGGCGGCCUUCUGGACUGACACUGACGCUGAGGUGCGAAAGCGUGGGUAGCAAACAGGAUUAGAUACCCGGGUAGUC